GUGGCUGUCACCGACCCAUCUCCCAACACUUCACCCAACAGAAGGCAGUGAAUCAACAGCAGGCCUGUGCAGACAGACACCCAUAAGACAUUCUGGAGCUGUUUACCGUUACCUUGGUCAUGGCUAUGACCUCCACAGUGGAGCGACCUUUCAACCCGUGCGCCAUGGCAACGCCCUGCAGCCUUGCUCCCGAGGCCUGCGGGAUCCUGGGAAGGUGAAGGCACAAGAGAUGUGAUUGGCUGAUGAAAGAGGGGUGGAAUCGCAGGGCACGAGCCGAGGAAUCCCCGACGGAUAAGAUGACAGCAGGGACACACACACACACAC
ensembl:lncRNA